rnacentral:rRNA from 1 species
CCUACGGGUGGCAGCAGUGAGGAAUAUUGGUCAAUGGCCGUAAGCCUGAACCAGCCAAGUCGCGUGAGGGAUGACGGUCCUAUGGAUCGUAAACCUCUUUUAUAAGGGAAGAAAAAGUGCGACGUGUCCUAUGUUGUAUGUACCUUAUGAAUAAGCAUCGGCUAACUCCGUGCCAGCAGCCGCGGUAAUACGGAGGAUCCGAGCGUUAUCCGGAUUUAUUGGGUUUAAAGGGUGCGUAGGCGGUCUUUAAGUCAACUGGGAAAAUAUGGGGGUUAACCAUAGAUUUGCCGUUGAAACUGGGAGGCUCGAGUACGGUCGAGGCAGGCGGAAUGAGUGGAGUAGCGGUGAAAUGCUUAGAUAUCACGCAGAACCCCGAUAGCGAAGGCAGCCUGCCAAGCCAUGACUGACGCUGAUGCACGAAAGCGUGGGGAGCAAACAGGAUUAGAUACCCCUGUAGUC